rnacentral:misc_RNA from 1 species
GAUGAAGAACGCAGCGAAAUGCGAUAAGUAGUGUGAAUUGCAGAAUUCAGUGAAUCAUCGAAUCUUUGAACGCACAUUGCGCCUCCUGGCAUUCCGGGAGGCAUGUCUGUUCGAGCGUCAUCAAACCCCAUCGUGCAAAUGAAUUAUUUUUUUUGCGCGGAAGUGACGAUUGAGCGAGAAUAACAAAUCCUCUCGCACCUCGUCGAAAUGAUUGCGGGCGGAAUUUGGGAUCGGGUUCCUCGGCGUAGUGUAUCAAUGCAUAUUUAUGCAACUUGCCGCGGAGUUGAGCCUGACCCACGCGUUCUCGCCGUACAAACACCUCAUUACUUUACAAGUUUUUGACCUCGGAUCAGGUAGGGAUACCCGCUGAACUUAAGCAUAUCAAUAAGCGGAGGA